rnacentral:rRNA from 1 species
CCUACGUGAGGCAGCAGUGAUGAAUAUUGGUCAAUGGGCGCGAGCCUGAACCAGCCACGUAGCGUGAAGGAUGACUGUCCUACGGGUUGUAAACUUCUUUUAUAAAGGAAUAAGGUGAGGCACGUGUGCCUUUUUGAAUGUACUUUAUGAAUAAGGAUCGGCUAACUCCGUUCCAGCAGCCGCGGUAAUACGGAGGAUCCGAGCGUUAUCCGGAUUUAUUGGGUUUAAAGGGAGCGUAGAUGGGUUGUUAAGUCAGUUGUGAAAGUUUGCGGCUCAACCGUAAAAUUGCAAUUGAUACUGGCAGCCUUGAGUACAGUUGAGGUAGGCGGAAUUCGUGGUGUAGCAGUGAAAUGCUUAGAUAUCACGAAGAACUCCGAUUGCGAAGGCAGCUUACUAAACUGCCACUGACAUUGAUGCUCGAAAGUGUGGGUAUCAAACAGGAUUAGAUACCCUGGUAGUC